AGAAUGAACGUUGGCGGCGUGGAUUAGGCAUGCAAGUCGAGCGCUCAUCAGCAAUGGUGGGAGCGGCGAACGGCGUAGUAAUUCAUAGGAACGUACCCUCAGGACGGGGAUAGCUACGGGAAACUGUAGGUAAUACCCGAUGACCUCCGCGGAGCAAAGGUGUGAUUCCGCCUGGGGAGCGGCUUAUGCGAUAUUAGCUAGUUGGUGGGUAAUGGCCUACCAAGGCAAAGAUGUCUAGGGGGUGUGAGAGCAUCGGCCCCCACGACCGGAACUGAGAUACUGUCCGGACACCGUACGGGUGGCUGCAGUCGAG
rnacentral:rRNA from 1 species